UUUUAUUUGAGAGUUUGAUCCUGGCUCAGGAUGAACGCUGGCGGCGUGCCUAACACAUGCAAGUUGAGCGAUUUACUUCGGUAAAGAGCGGCGGACGGGUGAGUAACGCGUGGGUAACCUACCCUGUACACACGGAUAACAUACCGAAAGGUAUGCUAAUACGGGAUAAUAUAUUUGAGAGGCAUCU
rnacentral:rRNA from 1 species